rnacentral:rRNA from 1 species
AAUGAACGUUGGCGGCGUGGAUUAGGCAUGCAAGUCGUACGCAUAGCUUCGGCUAUGAGUGGCGCAAGGGUGAGUAAUGCGAAGGUAACCAACCCUGGUGUUGGGCAUAGCCGCGGGAAACUGCGGGUAAUUCCCAGCGACGUCACGAGAUGGCAUCAUCUUGUGACCAAAGGUGUGAUUCCGCUCUAGGACGGGCCUUCGUGGUAUUAGGUAGUUGGUGAGGUAACGGCUCACCAAGCCGACGAUGCCUACCGGGUGUGAGAGCAUGACCCGGCACACUGGAACUGAGACACUGUCCAGACACCUACGGGUGGCUGCAGUCGAGAAUCUUCGGCAAUGGGCGAAAGCCUGACCGAGCGACGCCGCGUGAGGGAUUGAAGGCCUUCGGGUUGUAAACCUCUUUCGUAGAGGAGGAAGGGGCCGUGAAGAACGGUCUUUGACCUAUUCUAGGAAGAAGCUUGGGCUAAGUUCGUGCCAGCAGCCGC